rnacentral:lncRNA from 1 species
AUCACAGAAUUGCAAGAGUUGGGAGGGACCUCUACAAUCUGCAUCAUUGAUCCAGGUACUUGGAUUGUCACUCCAUCAUCUUUAUUGCACAGCACUUGAGUAAUGAACACAAAUUAGUACUGAAUGCAUUUAAACUUUAAUUCCAUUUGCAAUCAUGGAAUACACUGAUUUGGAAUGGAUCCACAAAGAUCAUCAAGUCUUACUCCUGAUUAUACAUAGGACUGUAUGAAUACUUCUUUGUUUUUUGGCUUAAAGCUUGCUUUCUGAGGCAUUUCUUGCGAUAAGACUCUGAGUUAGAUGAGAGAUGGGUGUUGCUGUGUGGCAAUCAACAUCACUGUGUGGACCAUUUUACAUUUGAAAGCAUUUCUCUGGAGCUAUUUGCCUCCGGAAGAGAGUGCUCAGGAGUGGUUACUGGUGGAAGAUCUGGCCUGUGACUAAAUAGCCCCAGGUUGGUGUGGGAAAACUGGGGAAUGAUACCAUCGUGUCCUGUGAAAAACACAGGGAUUCAGAUGGACAUCCCUGCUCCCUCUUAUUUGCUGGCAAGGCCCGGAAGAUAGUAACAAAGCAGUUUCUGCUGAAUCCAAGAGCCAGUAGCUGCCACUCCAAGGAGAGCUGACUCAACCACUUUGGAUUUGAGCUGUCACUCAAAAGAGAGCUGAUUUGACCAGUUUUGACUUAUAAAUAAGUUUGUACUGCCAUUGCCGUUGUCGUUGUCGUCUCUGUGGACACUGUUGUCAACAGAACAACAACGCCCGAUGACCCACCACUACUGAAGAUAAGUGACUGAACUACGAACCACGCUGGACCCACGGUGGUGACUAUCAUCUCCCUCUUGCCACCUAUAGAGACUCCUUGCUCCUAUUUCCUAUCUUUUCUGCUGCCCUUCUUCCCUUCCCCAUCA